UCUCCGUAGGUGAACCUGCGGAGGGAUCAUUACUGAGUGAGGGUUUAACCGCCCGACCUCCAACCCUUUGUGAAUCAAACCUGUUGCUUCGGGGGCGACCCUGCCGUUCGCGGCGCGGCGCCCCCGGAGGCCUUCAAACACUGCAUCUUUGCGUCGGAGUUUAAGUAAAUUAAACAAAACUUUCAACAACGGAUCUCUUGGUUCGGGCAUCGAUGAAGAACGCAGC
rnacentral:misc_RNA from 1 species